CGGCCAGCGCGCCUGACGUGGCGGCUCCGGUCCACGUCAUACAAUGCGGCUGCUCCGGCCACCCGCUGCCCAGCCACCGCAGGCCUCCUCUGGCUGCCCCUCAAGCAGUUAGCUCAAAUGCCAUUCCGGGCAGGGGCGCCAGUGCAGAAGGCCAACCUCCCCGCCAGGCCACUUCCACCAGGGGCCCUCCGCGGAGGCAGCACCGGGACCAGGAGGCGACUUCCAGGCUCGAGAGCCCGCCUCCCACGCCCUGCCCUCCCGCAAGGGCCUUCGACACACCUGCAGGGGCUCGGCCUCUGCUCCCGGCCCGCGCCGAGUCCAGGCCCCGCCCUUUGCGGCCCAGCGGAGACCCGGAGGCAUCGGAGUCCUCUGCCCAUCCUAGGGUAUAAGUCAAAAACGCCAACGCCAGAAAGGAGAUGGCACUGCACAUGCGCAGAACGUCCCCCGAGCCCUAAUCCAGAACUACGCUUCCCAGAAGGCCCGGCUGCGACUCCAUCUUGGAUGAGGUUAUGAGGCGCGUCCUCCUCCAGCGGCCGGAGUGACUGCUGUCUGGUUUCCUGGAGCGGGCCCCAGCGUUGCUCAGUGAUGGCUGGAGAGCUGCACGGCGCACGUCGGGGCGUGAAGACGGAAGGCCACAGUGAGGUGCUCCAAGGAUCACUGAUGGGCAGUUUUGUUAAAGUGGUUGAACUCCGUGGGUACAGGAGUACGUGGAGUAAUGAAGGAUAUUGCCCUGUAACCGCUUCCUCUUAGGAAUGCUAGCUUUCACAAUUGUGCAAACGCAUAAGGAAUAAAACUGUUCUUUUGAAAUGAAGAAGAGAACCACCUAGGAGACUAUCACCCUGACCUGAGGACUUCACUAGGGAUUCAGGAAAGAAGACACAGAAAGAAAGCAAUCCUCAAGCUCUCCCAGAACUCUCCACAUUGAUCCCACUCUGGCUAGCAGCACCAGCUGGACGGUAAUGACUCUCAGAGGUGAACACAAUAUGUUUCAACAUGCCUUUCUGAAAGUUCAGUUAGCAACUGGACAGCACCUGAAUUCCAGUUCUGCAAAGCUCUUCUCUGAAUACCUGAGGUACCAGCAUGAUCCUGGCACUGCCCCUGCCUCCACUGUCUGUCUAAUUCUAGCUCUCUGGGGCCACUCUUGUGAGUUUCUAGGUUCUGAGAACCUUAAUCUUUUCCAUUGUU